rnacentral:tRNA from 1 species
GAGUUAGUAACUUAAUGGUAAAGGAUUUCCUUGUCACGGAAAUAGAUGUCGGUUCGAG